AGAACCAGCAACUAUUGUUAGUCAUAUUAGUCUCCAUCAAACAAAUCAUGCGAAACAAGAUUUUAAACUUCGUUGCAAUCAUUACAUCACACAGAGGGGCACCCAGUUGGCACCGUGUGGACAUCUCAUAAGAUUUAAGUGGGUGUGCUCUUAAGAUGAAAGUCUUUGCCGCGCUCUUCCUCUUGGCCCUCGUGGUGUCAAUCAACGCUAAUUCUGGAGAUCAACCGGAAGUCAGUGACAAUGCAAUGGAGCCUAAAACCGCUGACACAGUAGAAAAAGGGGGUGACGUUGUUGAAGGGGAUUCAACUUUUGAAAAACCGGGUGAAGAGGGUGAAAAGCCAGAUGAUGACGACGACGGUGACGACAAUGAACUUGAAAAGUCUGAUGAAUCCGAUGUUUCUGAGACCGAUCCUAGUAAAGACCAGUAUGACGAUGACGGUGACGACAAUGAACUUGAAAAGUCUGAUAAAUCUGAUGUUACUGAAACUGAACCUAACAAAGAUCAGUCGCUAGAUGCAAAACCAUUUUUUUCUCAACGCCGCCGAUACAUCUCUCGACGCCGAUACAUCUCCCGACGCCGAUUCAUCUCCCGACGCCGAUACAUCUCCCGACGGCGAUACAUCUCCCGACGCCGAUACAUCUCCCGACGCCGAUACAUCUCCCGACGGCGAUACAUCUCCCGACGGCGAUACAUCUCCCGACGCCGAUACAUCUCCCGACGCCGAUAUAUCUCCCGACGCCGAUACAUUUCUCGACGUCGAUUUAUCGCUCGUCGUCGCAGAUUUGGCAAGAAGUAAUUUUCAGAACCACAUUGGGUAAAGCAAGAAUACGGAUCGGAUCGAAGAAAACUGGAAAUGGAUGAGCCAUGGAGAGCACACUUCAACACUGUAGCAAACUUGGCCAUAUAGAAUAAUCAACAGGGGAUAAAAACUUGCCUCUCAUAAAGAAAGGGUUUUGAAAUUUGUACAACUCGAUGUAAUUUUCAUAGUGUGUCAAAAUAAAAGCGCAACAACAAAUAACCAAAACCCUUUGUAUUCCUAAAUCUUCUUCCCGAGAUAUUAUCAAGGAAGCAAAUGAAAACUCAGUGAUGUCUUCAAAGAGAUCAUAAGUCAAAAUUCCAAAGUUGCUAUCCAUCAUCCUUUCGCGCGCGCCAGUAAGAUAUCGCAUUAAUAUUUUUUAAUAUUAUAUUGUAAUAUUCUAAGAUAAUUAUUUGAUGAAAUCUCGUUUAAAGAAAUUACAUUUUUGCACUGGUCUCGAACGACUUAACUACUUUUUUACAAUCAAGCUAGUAAAAGUCAAAUUUUUUAGAGGUCGAAAAUUCCACCGGGUCCUUGGGGGACGUCCACGUUUGAGUUGUUUGGAUUCAAUUCAGCUUAAAAUUGCGUUUUGAAACUUUCAUAAUUAGAUUAAGCAUCCGUGCGUAAAAAAAAGCAGAAGAUAUAAAAUGCAUUGUUAAAUCAAUAAUCCCUUGGUUGUGUUUUUCUUAGAAAGAAUAAAGUUUGGUAAUAAAGGGCUUCCUUUUAUAAGGCAGUCUUUUUGGCUGAAUUAACUAAUAAAUGAUUAACUGUUUCACAGACAAACCAUAGCGCAUUGGAUUGGAGGUAAAUAACGGGGUUUGUGGCGGUUUAAAGGGUUUGUGGGGAUACUUCAAAGGUCGGAGGAUAAAUUAGGAUCAUUUUAAAGGUUAGAAAACUGUAAAUUGGCUCAGUUUUAGCGGAUAUCAAAGAUUCAUUAGAUGCGUUUACGAAAAGAUCCAACUUGGACAAUCACAAUUCAGUUUCAUUUAAUUAACAAUUAUGCCAUUUCCAUUGGGGUGGAUAUUGGCGAAAUAUCUACCGAGAACCGAAUGCUCGAGGUAGAUAUUUUAAAAGCCACUAUCCGCCGAAAUAAAUCGAGCUUUAGAGCAAUUUUCUUUUAGGAAACAGUUGCAACUCGGCUGUCACUCCCGCCAUUUUGCUUGAUUUCGGGGCGCAGGAAAAUAUCAACCUCCUAGGAGGCGUAUAUUGAAUUUUACCACGAGCUUCGCAACAAAUCAAAUCGCUUGUUCUUGCGAGGUUCCAAGUUUCAUAUACUAAUUUCUUUUAUGCUUAGUUGCCCUCAAGUGUUGCCAACUAAGGUUCUAAUGUUUUCCGUUUGAUUAGCACUUAGAACCCAAGAAUAGCUCUUAGAACUAAAUGUUAUUCGACUGAGCCUCUAGCCUGCCCUCAGUUGAGUGCUUGCCAAGGAUUCUCUAAUUUUGUUGUUUAUUUACCUCACAUAAAAAGACGGAGCAGCAUUGUGCUUUCGUUUGAAAAGAAAAAAAACGUGGAACAGUAUUCUCAUUACGAGCAUUGAAAAGCUCUCUUAGUUUAAAAUACAACGGUUUGAUCGUCAUGUUCUAUGAAAAUGUUGUUUAAAGAAUUUUAAAAAUACAGUUUCUCCUAAGACGCGACUUGGCAAAACAGUUUUGCUGAUGAUCAAUAUCAAAGUACUCGGUGAUUAUGUGGACUUUUCACCUAUGAUAAAUGGCGCAUGAAGUGGGCGAAGAUGGACUCAUACCAAAUAUGGGUAGGCAGGCUGUUGAUCGAUCCACAUGAGGUAUUUUGGGACAUUGGAUAGCCCAAAGAUCUUUAAUCACAUAACAAGUAUUUGGGCUCUCUCAUACAAAUGAUUUUAAGAAGAAAUGAAUAAAUAAGUAAUUUCUUGGCGAGUUUAUAGAAUAUAAAUAUAUUGUUGUUGUUUAUUCUCCUCACCAAAAAGACGAGAAAGCAUUGUGGUUUGUUUUUGAAAGAGAAAGCGAGCAACAAACACUUUAUAAACAUUUUCAUGGCUAAAAUUUAAAAGUUCCUAAUUUUAUGGAAAUGUGACCUAGAAAAGCUCUAGAAUUAACUUGUUCCCCUUUUUUUCUUUCCUAAUAAUUUGAAUUUACUGAAUUCCCAAGCAAUUAUUGCGACAAUUAGUUCAGAAGGACUGAACUACGUUAUUUCUAAACACGCGCAACUAAGCAAAGAUUCAAGUGCUUUGCACUCAGCCACUCUCAGACUUACGCGAGUGACUUUAAUUAAGUCUGAGCUCGUAAAUUGCGACCAUUAUAAAUACAUCUAUGAUAAGAUCACUUCAUCAAUCAUUACCAAAUAAGGGAGAAAUCGACUUACGUCUGAGUGAUCAUUAUUAGCUCGUAAGUUUGCAAAGUUGUAAAUAAGUCUUGAAAUAAAAGUAUUUUUGCAAUUUUCGCUUUAUAAAUUGAAAACAUUUUUCUCUUAAACGAGCACAGUUCCAUAACUCCGACAUUUGAAAGGAAUCCAUUUCACGUAAUUCCAGUUCAAGUAUUUCUUUGAUAGCCCAAAAUUUAAAAACUUUAAAUUUUUGUUCCGCUUUUUUGGCUUCUUUGUGAUAUUGUAUGUUAUUUUAGGCUCGACGGAUUUUUCCUUGGCGAGUUUAUAGAUUAUAAAUAUAUUGUUGUUGUUUAUUCUCCUCACCAAAAAGACGAGAAAGCAUUGUGGUUUGUUUUUGAAAGAGAAAGCGAGCAACAAACACUUUAUAAACAUUUUCAUGGCUAAAAUUUAAAAGUUCCUAAUUUUAUGGAAAUGUGACCUAGAAAAGCUCUAGAAUUAACUUGUUCCCUUUUUUUUUCUUUCCUAAUAAUUUGAAUUUACUGGAUUCCCAAGCAAUUAUUGCGACAAUUAGUUCGGACUGAACUACGUUAUUUCUAAACUACGCGCAACUAAGCAAAGAUUCAAGUGCUUUGCACUCAGCCACUCUCAGACUUACGCGAGUGACUUUAAUUAAGUCUGAGCUCGUAAAUUGCGACCAUUAUAAAUACAUCUAUGACAAGAUCACUUCAUUAAUCAUUACCAAAUAAGGGAGAAAUCGACUUACGUCUGAGUGAUCAUUAUUAGCUCGUAAGUUUGCAAAGUUGUAAAUAAGUCUUGAAAUAAAAGUAUUUUUGCAAUUUUCGCUUUAUAAAUUGAAAACAUUUUUCUCUUAAACGAGCACAGUUCCAUAACUCCGACAUUUGAAAGGAAUCCAUUUCACGUAAUUCCAGUUCAAGUAUUUCUUUGAUAGCCCAAAAUUUAAAAACUUUAAAUUUUUGUUCCGCUUUUUUGGCUUCUUUGUGAUAUUGUAUGUUAUUUUAGGCUCGACGGAUUUUUCCUGUUAUGCAUUUCUAUACAGGGGUUGUAAGGGUGAAGACCAAUGAUUAUAAAUACGGUGCAACUUUCAACUUGUAUCAGAGUCUUAGCUUGCUGCGUUCUACUGAAGACGUCUGCAAAUUCGUGCGAACGUAGAACGUAAGAGAGACAGAGGCCUUCCUUCACCAUGAGAGGGCUUGCACUCAUCCUUCUGCUGGGAUUGGUUAUUUCAGUCACGUGUGAGCCACGUGACGAAGCUACGGACCAAUCACAAGACCAGCCUGAUUUGAAAGCAGAGUUCAUUGAAGAUCAAGCUGAAAACGACCCAGGGUUAGAGACAGAGGUUGCUGAAGACGAGGAGGAAGAGCCAGAGAAUGCAGAACUUGCCGGAAAAGAUGAUGACAACGAUGAUGAAGAUAGUGAGGUUGCAGAUGUUCAGGGCGGACAGCUUAAAGAGAGCGAUGCGAAGGAAGGAGGAAGGGCGGCGGAUCCAAUUUUUGGCCGUCGUCGAAGGCGUCGUCGAAGGCGUCGUCGAUAUUAUUACCGUCGUCGUCGCCGCCGUCGUCGUCGCUUUUUUGGAAGAAAGUGAAAUAGCAACAACCCAAAUACGUACAUCAUAAACGACCGGAUGUGGACAAGCCUUGCAACUCAUUAGAUGGAAAAGCACAAGUAAAGGAUGCAAUGCCUUUUAGAAUGAGAACAGUGUUCGCGGAUUUGAUGAUUUAAUAAAUAGAUGUAAGAAAAUAUAAUGUUUUAGGGCAGGAUAGAGCACGAUGUAUAGCUGCAGAAACCCUUAUUAAAAUGACGAGCAUCUA